CGGCCCAGCACGGAGGCGCACAGCCACACCCUCCUCUGUCUAGAGAGCUGGUUCCCAGCCACUGUCGUCUGACCGCUUGGGACAAAGCAGUGGCUGCUGGGCGUGACUGGGAGCUUGGGGAGCCAGGACUCCUGUCCUCAGGCCCCACGCUGCAGCUCGCCUGGAGCCAGCGUGGACCAGGGACGACCUGACCGCCUCCGAGAGCGCACAGCUGGGCGCCUGGGACCUGUCUUUGGUCACCAGGGUGAGGGGGACAAUCUUCUCUUGAGGAUCCUCAGGCUUCGCCCUGCCAGUUGCUUGGCUGUUUUGCGUGCCAUGGAGCUCACUCUAUCUGUAAUAGAGGGCCGACCUCCCCUGGGAAACUGAUACUGGAGAGUCUUGGCAAGAAACACACGAAGGACACUGACGGCACUGAUAAAUGCCAUCAAACAUUAAACAUGAAAAUAUAAUCAAAAUACACGAAGGAGAAAACUGCUCACUCUCAGAGUCCUCUGAAGAACUGGGAUGUGUGUACACCAAAAUUUUGCAUUGUGCCAGGCCUGGUGGUCGCAGUUGUGAUCCCAGCUACUUGGGAAUCUGAAGAGGAUCACCACAAGUUCAAGGCCAAAUGGGGUAACUUCACAAACUCUGUCUCAAAAAAAGAAGAAGA
rnacentral:lncRNA from 1 species